GGGUUGUGAGGUUAAGCGACUAAGCGUACACGGUGGAUGCCCUGGCAGUCAGAGGCGAUGAAGGACGUGCUAAUCUGCGAUAAGCGUCGGUAAGGUGAUAUGAACCGUUAUAACCGGCGAUUUCCGAAUGGGGAAACCCAGUGUGAUUCGUCACACUAUCAUUAACUGAAUCCAUAGGUUAAUGAGGCGAACCGGGGGAACUGAAACAUCUAAGUACCCCGAGGAAAAGAAAUCAACCGAGAUUCCCCCAGUAGCGGCGAGCGAACGGGGAGGAGCCCAGAGCCUGAAUCAGUGUGUGUGUUAGUGGAAGCGUCUGGAAAGGCGCGCGAUACAGGGUGACAGCCCCGUACACAAAAAUGCACAUGCUGUGAGCUCGAUGAGUAGGGCGGGACACGUGGUAUCCUGUCUGAAUAUGGGGGGACCAUCCUCCAAGGCUAAAUACUCCUGACUGACCGAUAGUGAACCAGUACCGUGAGGGAAAGGCGAAAAGAACCCCGGCGAGGGGAGUGAAAAAGAACCUGAAACCGUGUACGUACAAGCAGUGGGAGCCUCUUUUAUGGGGUGACUGCGUACCUUUUGUAUAAUGGGUCAGCGACUUAUAUUCUGUAGCAAGGUUAACCGAAUAGGGGAGCCGAAGGGAAACCGAGUCUUAACCGGGCGUUAAGUUGCAGGGUAUAGACCCGAAACCCGGUGAUCUAGCCAUGGGCAGGUUGAAGGUUGGGUAACACUAACUGGAGGACCGAACCGACUAAUGUUGAAAAAUUAGCGGAUGACUUGUGGCUGGGGGUGAAAGGCCAAUCAAACCGGGAGAUAGCUGGUUCUCCCCGAAAGCUAUUUAGGUAGCGCCUCGUGAAUUCAUCUCCGGGGGUAGAGCACUGUUUCGGCAAGGGGGUCAUCCCGACUUACCAACCCGAUGCAAACUGCGAAUACCGGAGAAUGUUAUCACGGGAGACACACGGCGGGUGCUAACGUCCGUCGUGAAGAGGGAAACAACCCAGACCGCCAGCUAAGGUCCCAAAGUCAUGGUUAAGUGGGAAACGAUGUGGGAAGGCCCAGACAGCCAGGAUGUUGGCUUAGAAGCAGCCAUCAUUUAAAGAAAGCGUAAUAGCUCACUGGUCGAGUCGGCCUGCGCGGAAGAUGUAACGGGGCUAAACCAUGCACCGAAGCUGCGGCAGCGACACUGUGUGUUGUUGGGUAGGGGAGCGUUCUGUAAGNNNNNNNNNNNNNNNNNNNNNNNNNNNNNNNNNNNNNNNNNNNNCGAAUGCUGACAUAAGUAACGAUAAAGCGGGUGAAAAGCCCGCUCGCCGGAAGACCAAGGGUUCCUGUCCAACGUUAAUCGGGGCAGGGUGAGUCGACCCCUAAGGCGAGGCCGAAAGGCGUAGUCGAUGGGAAACAGGUUAAUAUUCCUGUACUUGGUGUUACUGCGAAGGGGGGACGGAGAAGGCUAUGUUGGCCGGGCGACGGUUGUCCCGGUUUAAGCGUGUAGGCUGGUUUUCCAGGCAAAUCCGGAAAAUCAAGGCUGAGGCGUGAUGACGAGGCACUACGGUGCUGAAGCAACAAAUGCCCUGCUUCCAGGAAAAGCCUCUAAGCAUCAGGUAACAUCAAAUCGUACCCCAAACCGACACAGGUGGUCAGGUAGAGAAUACCAAGGCGCUUGAGAGAACUCGGGUGAAGGAACUAGGCAAAAUGGUGCCGUAACUUCGGGAGAAGGCACGCUGAUAUGUAGGUGAAGUCCCUCGCGGAUGGAGCUGAAAUCAGUCGAAGAUACCAGCUGGCUGCAACUGUUUAUUAAAAACACAGCACUGUGCAAACACGAAAGUGGACGUAUACGGUGUGACGCCUGCCCGGUGCCGGAAGGUUAAUUGAUGGGGUCAGCGCAAGCGAAGCUCUUGAUCGAAGCCCCGGUAAACGGCGGCCGUAACUAUAACGGUCCUAAGGUAGCGAAAUUCCUUGUCGGGUAAGUUCCGACCUGCACGAAUGGCGUAAUGAUGGCCAGGCUGUCUCCACCCGAGACUCAGUGAAAUUGAACUCGCUGUGAAGAUGCAGUGUACCCGCGGCAAGACGGAAAGACCCCGUGAACCUUUACUAUAGCUUGACACUGAACAUUGAGCCUUGAUGUGUAGGAUAGGUGGGAGGCUUUGAAGUGUGGACGCCAGUCUGCAUGGAGCCGACUUGAAUACCACCCUUUAAUGUUUGAUGUUCUAACGUGGACCCGUGAUCCGGGUUGCGGACAGUGUCUGGUGGGUAGUUUGACUGGGGCGGUCUCCUCCUAAAGAGUAACGGAGGAGCACGAAGGUUGGCUAAUCCUGGUCGGACAUCAGGAGGUUAGUGCAAUGGCAUAAGCCAGCUUGACUGCGAGCGUGACGGCGCGAGCAGGUGCGAAAGCAGGUCAUAGUGAUCCGGUGGUUCUGAAUGGAAGGGCCAUCGCUCAACGGAUAAAAGGUACUCCGGGGAUAACAGGCUGAUACCGCCCAAGAGUUCAUAUCGACGGCGGUGUUUGGCACCUCGAUGUCGGCUCAUCACAUCCUGGGGCUGAAGUAGGUCCCAAGGGUAUGGCUGUUCGCCAUUUAAAGUGGUACGCGAGCUGGGUUUAGAACGUCGUGAGACAGUUCGGUCCCUAUCUGCCGUGGGCGCUGGAGAACUGAGGGGGGCUGCUCCUAGUACGAGAGGACCGGAGUGGACGCAUCACUGGUGUUCGGGUUGUCAUGCCAAUGGCACUGCCCGGUAGCUAAAUGCGGAAGAGAUAAGUGCUGAAAGCAUCUAAGCACGAAACUUGCCCCGAGAUGAGUUCUCCCUGACCCUUUAAGGGUCCUGAAGGAACGUUGAAGACGACGACGUUGAUAGGCCGGGUGUGUAAGCGCAGCGAUGCGUUGAGCUAACCGGUACUAAUGAACCGUGAGGCUUAACCUUACAACGCCGAAGGUGUUU
rnacentral:rRNA from 1 species